rnacentral:rRNA from 1 species
AACGUAGGGGGCGAGCGUUGUCCGGAAUUACUGGGCGUAAAGAGCGUGUAGGCGGUCUGUUAAGUCAGGUGUGAAACCUGUGGGCUCAACCCGGAGCGUGCACAUGAAACUGACAGACUUGAGAGCAGGAGAGGGAAGUGGAAUUCCUAGUGUAGCGGUGAAAUGCGUAGAUAUUAGGAGGAACACCAGUGGCGAAGGCGGCUUUCUGGCCUGCAACUGACGCUGAGACGCGAAAGCCAGGGGAG